rnacentral:rRNA from 1 species
AUUGAACGCUGGCGGAAUGCUUUACACAUGCAAGUCGAACGGUAGAGGGGCAACCCUUGAGAGUGGCGAACGGGUGAGUAAUGUAUCGGAACAUGCCCAGUCGUGGGGGAUAACGUAGCGAAAGUUACGCUAAUACCGCAUACGAUCUAUGGAUGAAAGCGGGGGAUCGCAAGACCUCGCGCGAUUGGAGUGGCCGAUAUCAGAUUAGGUAGUUGGUGGGGUAAAGGCCUACCAAGCCGACGAUCUGUAGCUGGUCUGAGAGGACGACCAGCCACACUGGGACUGAGACACGGCCCAGACUCCUACGGGAGGCAGCAGUGGGGAAUUUUGGACAAUGGGCGCAAGCCUGAUCCAGCCAUUCCGCGUGCAGGAUGAAGGCCCUCGGGUUGUAAACUGCUUUUGUACAGAACGAAAAGGCUCUGGUUAAUACCUGGGGCUCAUGGCGGUACUGUAGGAAUAAGCACCGGCUAACUACGUGCCAGCAGCCGCAGUAA